UACGUAGGGUGCGAGCGUUGUCCGGAAUUACUGGGCGUAAAGGGCUCGUAGGCGGCCAACUAAGUCAGACGUGAAAUCCCCAGGCUCAACCUGGGAACUGCGUCUGAUACUGGUUGGCUUGAAUCCGGGAGAGGGAUGCAGAAUUCCAGGUGUAGCGGUGAAAUGCGCAGAUAUCAGGAGGAACACCGGUGGCGAAGGCGGGUCUCUGGGCCGAUACUGACGCUGAGGAGCGAAAGCGUGGGGAGCGAACAGG
rnacentral:rRNA from 1 species